GGGGAACUCUGGGCUCAGGCAGACAGAAUUCUGUAUCCCCGGACUGCGGCCCCGCCCUGGCUGGAUACCCGGUUUCAACAGGCGCUGGCGUCCCCACGGGCCCACACAGGGUCGAGCUGCGUGGCCGGCCACACCCAGCCCCAGGUCGCUCGCUCGCUCCCACUGAGGGCGGCAAAGGUCAAGAGAGCUUGCAGGAGACCACGCCCCACUCGGGCUCUGCUCUUCCCCUCCCUUCGCCGGCCCCACCCAUCGUCUGCUCCACGCGGCUCCCUCCUGCUGCCCAGACCUCAGCCCUCGAAGAGCUGUGCUGCUCCAGAUACUUGCCCCAGGGUGGCUGCCCAGGGAACUACUCGUGCAGUCCUGAGUGGACUGGAAAGCCUUUCGUCUUUGCUUGAACAGCAGUCGUGCUGGGAAUAAAGCAGUCCCCUGGCUUUGGCGCCUCCCACAGUACCGCACUGAAAAUCCUUGGGUGCUUGCUGGUAUGCCCAGUCCAGAGAGGCUCCAGUUGUAGAAGCUGCAGGGAUGCUUACAGGACCUGGAGCUCCAGACCUUCCCAGCCCUCUUCUUGUCCCAUAGAACUGAAGCUGGGGCCUGUGGCAGCUCACCUCCUGCUCUGCAAAGCUGACUACCCUAGUGAGGUCACUGAACUAAGGUGUUGAUGAUACUGAGACAGCCCACCAUGUUUCCACCCUCGAUGUUGCUGGGAUACUACUUUACCAUGACCCGUGGUCACAGGAGGCUCAAGACAGUGGGGACAGUGAAGACCUGGUGAUUUUGUAUCCUGAGCCAUAGAUCUUUGAAGGAGCACCCUGCAAUAUUCCACUCAGCAUAUUUCCUGUUGACAUCUUUGCACGCUACCGACAGCAGCAGCAUCUUCAGAGAACCGGGAGCCCUAAGUGGUCACUGCUGAUACCCUGAGCACAGAAAGCGCUUUAACCUUUAUGGCGGUUCUCCUUACUGCCACUUCCUCAGAACAGAAGCCAGAAUCAGAUCUGCACAGCAAUGGAAUUCAACAUGGAGUUAGCUGCUGUUUCUCGUGGCCUCAGUCAGCUAGAAACCACCCUGCACAAGAUGGAGGCAGAGCCCUGAUAAACCAGAGAAAUGACCAGUGAGGAACAAGGUAGGGACCGUCCAGAAAACUCGGGCUGAUGAUGGCACCUAGCCAGCCAGGGCUGGAACAAGACAAAGCUGCUGAGCAACGAGCCCCAGAGUGCCUUUCUUGAGGGGUAUCUGUCUCUGCCUGUUUUUCCGCAACUGGGCAGGACCCCACAAAUGUCAGAGAUCAGAUUUUUACUUUGAUUCAAUUAACAUGGGCUGAACCGCUUUCUGUGCCGAGGGGCCCAUGCUGGAUGAGCUUCAGACAGGCUCUGCGUUCAGCGCACAGACCACACCCAGGGCCUAGUGGACUGCAGAAGAGCCCAAGGGAGACACCGGCACAGAUAGGUGCUGCCUACCCACUACUCUGGAUUGAGGGCUGAAGAUCUUCUCUGGAGUUGAGACCCUUCCCCUGUUUCUUGACUUCGGGUUCAACAAUCAUUACCAUACCUCCUAGCCAGCAACAGCCGUCCCUGGAUGGUCAUUUCAAAGACCCUACUGCACAUAAAGUAGUUUCUCAGGAGGACGAAUUUUGAUAAGCCAAUACAGGACUCACAUGGAUAUGUGGUCUCUCUCUUCAGCAUGGCCAUAGCCUCCAUCUGUAGGAUCUGCCAUGGACUCAAGGACAAGGUGGUGGAAGGGGAUCCCGGGACCCUGGUGCCUGCAUCUGAAAAACCAGAGGCAAACAUAUGUAAAUGUGCGGGCACUGCACAGUGCCAAUCUUCCAGCCAACACCACCUCACAGAUGAACUAAAAUAAUUGCUUGGACUCGGUUUUUGAAACUUAACAUCGAGCCCAUACACAAAUAUUAGCCUAGUCAGUCCCCUCCCCCUCCCCAGCCACCACAGGUUUACUUAUAUAAACAAAUCAUGUUCCCCAAGAAGGAGGCUGGAGCUGACACAGGCCAUUGUUGGGUAGGCAAUUACCGUAAUGAGGGAAAGCUAAGUGAAUGGAAGGCUGCUCCAGCUGCUUUGUUGAUAGAGGGUAAUAAGGGUGCUGCCUGAGCACAGAGUUAAUUUGCACUUUUCUCCACAAGCCUGGUGCUGCCCAAGCCACAACUACCCUUAGAACUGAAGCCCAGCUAAUUACUCAUGUUAAUUACCCAGCCCCAGGUCAGAUCCUGUGGCUGGUUAAAGACAGUGAAAGGCUAGGCGGCCACGAUUCUUGCUUAGAGCCGUGCAGAGGCUAUGGCUGGAUGUGUAAAUCUCUCUGAUUGGUGCACACCCUCCUUUAAGAGGCAUUAACUCUGCAGGGGACUAAGUUUCCUGAGAGCACCAUACCCUGCUCCCUCCUCGGGUCUCUUGAGAUCCCUCGGGAUUUUCUCCACGAGUUCUAUUUUCUCUGUAUAGAACACGCUAAUGGGGAAAAUGUUCACAAACAUAACUAAACAAAUUAGAUUAAUAAUUAACAAGCUGGGUGUGUUGGUGUCCAUCUGUAAUCCUAGCACUCAGGAAGCAGGAACAGGAAGAUUUGAGUUCACUGCUAGCCUAUCUCCAAAAAGAAGAAAAAACCCAAAGCCAAAUGGUUCCACCCUGUAUGAUGUUUCCAUUUACAUAAUAUUCUGGAAAAGGCAAAACCAUAGGGAACUGUGCCGACCAGAGGUUGCCAAAGGUGGGGGUGGUAGUGAGAGCUGACCACAAAGGGGGAUCAUGAGGGAAUUUGGGGGGACAAUGGGCUCCUCUGGAUAUGAUCAUGGGAUAUGUAUAUCAUGUGAUAUACAUUCAGCAAUGUUAUACACGUGUCAAAACCUGUAGAGAUGUCCUCUGCAAAGAGUGAAUUUUGUUGUUUUACUGUAUAAAGUUACAGAGAAAAAUGUAAGAAGAUAUGGUAAGAUUUGCUCUCAGUUUUUACGACGGCAAUUCGAAAGUUUGUCAUUGCUGCUAGAUGCUGCUAAGAUAUCUUUUUCCAACAAAGAAAAUCUUUGAAAUUCUAGCCCAUGAAACCAAAUGUGGGAAGGGGAGGCUUGGCUUGUCCCACUCAUGUGUAAUGAGUGUCUUGUCUGAACUGCUU
ensembl:lncRNA